rnacentral:rRNA from 1 species
GUGGGGAAUAUUGGACAAUGGGGGGAACCCUGAUCCAGCCAUGCCGCGUGUGUGAAGAAGGCCUUUUGGUUGUAAAGCACUUUAAGCGAGGAGGAGGCUACCGAGAUUAAUACUCUUGGAUAGUGGACGUUACUCGCAGAAUAAGCACCGGCUAACUCUGUGCCAGCAGCCGCGGUAAUACAGAGGGUGCAAGCGUUAAUCGGAUUUACUGGGCGUAAAGCGCGCGUAGGUGGCCAAUUAAGUCAAAUGUGAAAUCCCCGAGCUUAACUUGGGAAUUGCAUUCGAUACUGGUUGGCUAGAGUAUGGGAGAGGAUGGUAGAAUUCCAGGUGUAGCGGUGAAAUGCGUAGAGAUCUGGAGGAAUACCGAUGGCAAAGGCAGCCAUCUGGCCUAAUACUGACACUGAGGUGCGAAAGCAUGGGGAGCAAACAGGAUUAGAAACCCGUGUAGUCC